GCCAUGGUAGUGUAGUGGUAUCACGACACGUUGUGGUUACGGCUCCGUGUCGACCCUGGUUCGAUUCCAGGCCAUGGCA